CCUACGGGUGGCUGCAGUGGGGAAUUGUUCGCAAUGGGCGCAAGCCUGACGACGCAACGCCGCGUGGGGGAUGAAGGUCUUCGGAUUGUAAACCCCUGUCGAGCGGGACGAAUGGCCCGCGACCUAAUACGUCGUGGGAGUGACGGUACCGCUAAAGGAAGCCACGGCUAACUCUGUGCCAGCAGCCGCGGUAAUACAGAGGUGGCAAGCGUUGUUCGGAAUUACUGGGCGUAAAGGGCGCGUAGGCGGCCUUCUAAGUCAGACGUGAAAUCCCC
rnacentral:rRNA from 1 species